UGGGUAGUCCCAUGUUCCUUUGGGACCUCCAUCUGGGUAGUUAUGGUGAUUCCCGUGGUUGGAGUGGCCACAGGAGGCACAGAGGACAUGGCUUUCUGCUGAGGAAGAUGCCGUGACUCCACAUAAGUGGGUCACAACCACUGGUUGAAGAAGCAGUGACAGCGCCCUCCCUGCAGGCCCUCACACACAAACAACUGUGCCACAUCCUAGCUGUCAUACUGUGGCCUGUUAGCUUGCUCUGGUCACUCAUGCUCCUCUGCUACACUAUGGGACAUGCCUGCACUGGAGCUGAUCACCUUGGGCUCCUGCAGAAGUCCAGCAGAUGUGUCUCCUGGCAGAAAAUCAGCUGAGAUAAUGAGAAAAGACUUCAACUUCCAUAUGCUGGUAUCAGCCCAGAUUUAAUGUGCUCCUCUGAGUGCUUCUCUUCGUCAAAACUUCUGUAGCACUCUGGCAGGUUUUCUCAACCCCUUCAAGAGAAGAUGCUCACGGAAAGGCUGCCGGUCUAUAAUUACUCUGCUGUGUCUGCUUUUCUGCUCCUUUCCCAUCAGCCCCGAUGAGCUUAAAUAGAAGUUAUAUUCUGUAUUUUCCCUCACCUCUCAGUGGCCAAUAUCAGUGAAUACAUUUGAUUGUAUACUUGUUGCUAAGAAAUGUGGCCCUGGCUGCCCUUUGGAAAAAUUAUGACUAUGUUAUAGAUCCAAAACCUAGAAGAGCUUGGGUUUUAUGAGGGAUACUGGUAGGACACCUAAGUAUUCCUCUUACAUGAUGGUUAUAUAGGAUGGGGUUCAAGUCUUCACAGGCAGAUUGGCAGCAAGAUGCAGAUGACAUAAACAGAAUGCAAAUAUGGAAGGAAAUCUGGUGGACCUUAGGUUGCUUCUGACUCUACCAGUUUCUUCUAGCUAUCUAGAAAUCUCUGGGAUUUCAACACAGAAAGUUCUUAAAAAUUAUAUAUAUAUAUAUAUAUAUUAUUUUAUACUUUUAAAAUAUUUUAACAUUAUUAUCAUUAUUAUAAAUUAUUUCAGAAAUUACUGUGUUUCAACCCUUCCUUUCUCUACAUGUUUCUUUUUCACUGAUUUAUUUUCUCAGUAGAGAAAAAAUAUAGCAACUAUUGGUUUAGACUACCAGUCUGGUGGAAAUCUUAAUCAAUACUCUCUGAGUGCAUAAGAGCCCCAUGAACAGCAUUCAUAGAAUAAUGCCCUCCUAAGAGAGAUGCAAACUGUACCAGAAAUUGUUGUAACUCCAUUGCACGGUUUAUACUCCUCUGACCUUCUUAGUGUGACUAAGUAAUUGAUCUCACUGCCUUCUUGGUUUUGGAAACUUUUACUGUGGGGAAAAAAAAAUAAAUUACAGUUUCCUUCAACAUUGUGUAAAAUCACCACUUUAUUAUUCACUUUAUUAUUUUUAACAUACCUCAAGGGAUGGAAGAAAAUAUAGAAAGGGACCAAUAAACUGAGAAAUAUA